rnacentral:rRNA from 1 species
CCUACGGGUGGCAGCAGUGAGGAAUAUUGGUCAAUGGGCGGAAGCCUGAACCAGCCAAGUAGCGUGCAGGAUGACGGCCCUACGGGUUGUAAACUGCUUUUAUACGGGAAUAACGCGCCUUACGUGUAGGGCUUUGCAUGUACCGUAUGAAUAAGGACCGGCUAAUUCCGUGCCAGCAGCCGCGGUAAUACGGAAGGUCCGGGCGUUAUCCGGAUUUAUUGGGUUUAAAGGGUGCGCAGGCGGAAUGUCAAGUCAGCGGUAAAAUUUCGGGGCUCAACCCCGUCGUGCCGUUGAAACUGGCGUUCUUGAGUGAGCGAGAAGUAUGCGGAAUGCGUGGUGUAGCGGUGAAAUGCAUAGAUAUCACGCAGAACUCCGAUUGCGAAGGCAGCAUACCGGCGCUCAACUGACGCUCAUGCACGAAAGCGUGGGUAUCGAACAGGAUUAGAUACCCGGGUAGUC